rnacentral:rRNA from 1 species
GGAUCCAAGUCGUUAUCCCGGAAUCAUUGGGUUUAAAGGGUCCGUAGGCGGUCAAGGGUAAGUCAGUGGUGAAAGCCCAUCGCUCAACGGUGGAACGGCCAUUGAUACUGCGUUGACUUGAGUUAUUAGGAAGUAACGUAGAAUAUGUAGUGUAGCGGUGAAAUGCUUAGAGAUUACAUGGAAUACCUUGCGAAGGCAGGUUACUACUAAUGGAUUGACGCUGAUGGACGAAAGCGUGGGUAGCGAACAGGAUUAGAUACCCGUGGUAGUCCACGCCGUAAACGAUGGAUACUAGCUGUUGGGAGCAAUCUCAGUGGCUAAGCGAAAGUGAUAAGUAGCCCAUCUGGGGAGUACGUUCGCAAGAAUG